ACCCGCUGAACUUAAGCAUAUCAAUAAGCGGAGGAAAAGAAACCAACAGGGAUUACCUCAGUAACGGCGAGUGAAGCGGUAACAGCUCAAAUUUGAAAUCUGGGUCUUUCAGGCUCCGAGUUGUAAUUUGUAGAAGAUGCUUCGGGUGCGGCUCCGGUCUAAGUUCCUUGGAACAGGACGUCAUAGAGGGUGAGAAUCCCGUAUGUGAUCGGUGGCUUGCGCCCAUGUGAAGCUCUUUCGACGAGUCGAGUUGUUUGGGAAUGCAGCUCCAAAUGGGUGGUAUAUUUCAUCUAAAGCUAAAUAUUGGCCAGAGACCGAUAGCGCACAAGUAGAGUGAUCGAAAGAUGAAAAGCACUUUGGAAAGAGAGUUAAACAGUACGUGAAAUUGUUGAAAGGGAAGCGCUGCAACCAGACUUGCGUGUGUCGAUCAUCCGGGGUUCUCCCCGGUGCACUCGACCUCACUCAGGCCAGCAUCGGUUUCGGUGGUUGGAUAAAGGCCUUGGGAAUGUGGCUCCUCUCGGGGAGUGUUAUAGCCCUCGGUGCAAUGCAGCCUACCGGGACCGAGGACCGCGCUUCGGCUAGGAUGCUGGCGUAAUGGUUGUAAGCGACCCGUCUUGAAACACGGACCAAGGAGUCUAACAUCUAUGCGAGUGUUUGGGUGUCAAACCCAUACGCGUAAUGAAAGUGAACGGAGGUGAGAACCCUUAAGGGUGCAUCAUCGACCGAUCCUGAUGUCUUCGGAUGGAUUUGAGUAAGAGCAUAGCUGUUGGGACCCGAAAGAUGGUGAACUAUGCCCGAAUAGGGUGAAGCCAGAGGAAACUCUGGUGGAGGCUCGCAGCGGUUCUGACGUGCAAAUCGAUCGUCAAAUUUGGGUAUAGGGGCGAAAGACUAAUCGAACCAUUGGUAACCUUGCUAGGUGGUUGGGAGGGCGCUCAAAGUGCAGCCCUAGUCCUGUAGCCAGGGCAACUCUGUCAAAUUGUUCGGGGACCACCCGCUUUAAAUUCUAAGCUACCGCAGCCUGGGCGAAAGCCCUGGUGCGCACCAGGUUAACGGCCUCGGGUAUGGUAACAACGCUUAGAUAGGGUCAAUCCGCAGCGAAAGGCCUACGGGUGCCGCACGAGGCACCUAUGGUCUACACGUUCACAGACUAGACGGCAGUGGGUUCAGGCGCGAGAGCGCCUGGGCUUAAGAUAUAGUCGGGCCCCCCAGAGAUGGGGCGGGCAGAAGAAGGCUGUGGGAGGCUACCCCUCCAGGGUCCCACAGCCCCGAGCUGCCCGGUGGGAGGCGGCGCCAGCAGGCGCCCCUCCCUGGAAAUCAGUGCUAGUAGCUGGUUCCUGCCGAAGUUUCCCUCAGGAU
rnacentral:ncRNA from 2 species